rnacentral:rRNA from 1 species
GACGAACGCUGGCGGCGUGCCUAAUACAUGCAAGUAGAACGCUGAAGGAAGGAGCUUGCUCUUUCUGGAUGAGUUGCGAACGGGUGAGUAACGCGUAGGUAACUUGCCUGGUAGCGGGGGAUAACUAUUGGAAACGAUAGCUAAUACCGCAUAAAAUUGAUUAUUGCAUGAUAGUCAAUUAAAAGGUGCAACUGCACCACUACCAGAUGGACCUGCGUUGUAUUAGCUAGUUGGUGGGGUAACGGCUCACCAAGGCGACGAUACAUAGCCGACCUGAGAGGGUGAUCGGCCACACUGGGACUGAGACACGGCCCAGACUCCUACGGGAGGCAGCAGUAGGGAAUCUUCGGCAAUAGACGGAAGUCUGACCGAGCAACGCCGCGUGAGUGAAGAAGGUUUUCGGAUCGUAAAGCUCUGUUGUAAGAGAAGAACGAGUGUGAGAGUGGAAAGUUCACACUGUGACGGUAUCUUACCAGAAAGGGACGGCUAACUACGUG